rnacentral:rRNA from 1 species
CAGCCGCCGCGGUAAUACGGAGGGUGCAAGCGUUAAUCGGAAUUACUGGGCGUAAAGCGCACGCAGGCGGUUUGUUAAGUAGGAAGUGAAAGGUCGGAGCUCAACUCCAACAUUGCUUCCUAUACUGGCAGUCUUGAGUAGCGGAGAGGAAGGGGGAACGACACGUGUAGCGGUGAAAUGCGUUGAUAUGUGUCGGAACACCCAUGGCGAAAGCACCCUUCUGGACGCAGACUGACGCUCAUGUUCGAAAGCCAAGGUAGCGAACAGGAUUAGAUACCCCCGUAGUCCCUGUCUCUUAUAA